rnacentral:rRNA from 1 species
CACCGUUUACUAGAAAAUCAGUAUCCUACUCGGAUAACUGUGGCAAUUCUAGAGCUAAUACGUGCGAAAAAGCUCGUUUCGCAAGAUUCGAGCGCAUUUAUUAGAAUAAAAACCAAUCGGGCCCAUAAAGCCCGUAAUUUGGUGAAUCUGAAUAACUUUGCCGAUCGCACGGUCCUAGUACCGGCGACGUAUCUUUCAAGUGUCUGCCUUAUCAACUUUCGAUGGUAGGUUAUACGCCUACCAUGGUAGUAACGGGUAACGGAGAAUAAGGGUUCGACUCCGGAGAGGGGGCCUGAGAAACGGCUACCACAUCCAAGGAAGGCAGCAGGCGCGCAAAUUACCCACUUCCAGAACGGAGAGGUAGUGACGAAAAAUAACGAGACAGUCCUCUUCGAGGUCUGUCAUCGGAAUGGGUACAAUUUAAAUCCUUUAACGAGGAUCUAUUGGAGGGCAAGUCUGGUGCCAGCAGCCGCGGUAAUUCCAGCUCCAAUAGCGUAUAUUAAAGUUGUUGCGGUUAAAACGCUCGUAGUUGGAUCUGCGGCCUCGGAGAACGGUCCCCCGAAAGGGCGGUCACUGUUACUCCAAGCCUAUAUAUCUAGUCUACUCUACGGUGCUCUUAACCGAGUGCCUAGAGUGACUGGAACGUUUACUUUGAAAAAAUUAGAGUGCUUAAAGCAGGCGAAAUAGCCUGAAUAAGGUGCAUGGAAUAAUGGAAUAGGACCUCGGUUCUAUUUUGUUGGUUUUCGGAGCCCGAGGUAAUGAUUAAGAGGAACAGACGGGGGCAUUCGUAUUCCGGCGCUAGAGGUGAAAUUCUUGGACCGCCGGAAGACGGACGACUGCGAAAGCAUUUGCCAAGAAUGUUUUCAUUAAUCAAGAACGAAAGUUAGAGGUUCGAA